UACGUAGGGUGCGAGCGUUAAUCGGAAUUACUGGGCGUAAAGGGUGCGUAGGUGGAUAAUUAAGUCAGUGGUGAAAUCUUCAGGCUUAACCUGGAAACUGCCAUUGAUACUAUUUAUCUUGAAUACUUUGGAGGUAAGCGGAAUAUGUCACGUAGCGGUGAAAUGCUUAGAUAUGACAUAGAACACCAAUUGCGAAGGCAGCUUACUACACAGUAAUUGACACUGAGGCACGAAAGCGUGGGGAUCAAACAGG
rnacentral:rRNA from 1 species